AAAGUCCUAUCGGGUUCAUGGACAUACCUUUACAAAUAAUUGUGUAAACUACUCAUCUUUCUUCUAUAUUUAUCUACUUUUUCACACAGCUUCACAAGACCU